UACGUAGGGGGCAAGCGUUGUCCGGAUUUAUUGGGCGUAAAGAGCGUGUAGGCGGCUUGUUGCGUCGACUGUGAAAACCCGCGGCUUAACUGCGGGCUUGCAGUUGAUACGGGCAGGCUAGAGUUCGGUAGGGGAGACUGGAAUUCCUGGUGUAGCGGUGAAAUGCGCAGAUAUCAGGAAGAACACCCGUGGCGAAGGCGGCUCUCUGGGACGGUACUGACGCUGAGACGCGAAAGCGUGGGGAGCAAACAGG
rnacentral:rRNA from 1 species